rnacentral:misc_RNA from 1 species
UAUAUAUAGGGGGGUGGUGAGAGCUGGAUGCCAGGAAGCAUUUUUAUCGACCCGGGCAUAUUUUCCCCGUCAACGACUGACCCGAGAGACCAAAGAAUCCUAGUCGUUGCCGGGUAAAAUAGGCCCCGGGUAGUCAGUUUUCGGGAAAAAAUAGGCCUUCGGUCAGGUUUUUCAAAAAAGUACGCAACCUCAACAUUUCAGUGUCUGUUCCUGAAACAAAACUUUUUGUGCAAUAUGUAUAUAUAGGAGGGUGGUGAGAGCUGGUAGCCAAGAUGCAUGGAUACGAGGUAGCGUUUUCGAUGAAACCUGUGGCGUUGUGGGCCUCGCAACGCCAUUUGUACGUGCUUGCCGGACGAUCCUAGAACGAAGCAUUACUUGCCACACCGGCCUGGCUGGUGACUUGUUUUGUGUAGUUUUUUAGGUGACGGUGAGCAUGAUGAGGCACGUAGGAACUGUUAACCAGGUCGAAGCCUGUGCCUCCCUGGGUAACAAAGACAACGUCAUGAAUGACUGAACGUAGGACUUUUGGUUGCUUUCUUGGCUCGAAUGCCUAGUGGGUGGCUAAUUGUUAGGCGGUUUUCGGGGAUGUUUACCGUAAAGGUGCAUGAGUGGUGUAUGGUUUGUUACCGGUGGUUGGCUCUCUGCUUUUGCAACAACUUCCACCUGGCAUUCCUCUUCAGGUUCGCGUCAAGGUUGCUAUUCCUUGACCGCUUAUGGUUUCCUGUGUUGCCUACCUACUUGAUGGUAUCGCUUGAUUACAUCGAUGGCGUGUUUCAUCAUGCGUCAUUUAUAUGGCGUAGGAUGAACUUCAAAGCAGCUUCCAUGAUCCACCAUGUUGAUGCACAUGCAUCGAUGUUGUGGCUCAUUGAGUUACGCUUGGUUUUUUGAUUACAGAACAUGAUAUGGGUGUGGGUCAUGCGAUCCUUGUUUUUCCCUUUUUGAACGUUGUUAUUACUCAGAGAUGGCCGCCUAUCCCGAAUUGGCUCGUACCACCGGGGUAGGUUAAGCUGUUGAAGAGUAAUAAUGACGUUCUUGCUUCUCUAAAACAGACGGCCUUGCCUGUGUUGGAUCGUACCAACGGGUGGGCUAUGUCGAAGAGGGAUGC